AAUCAAAAAACAUCUGUUUGCCUAGACUCAUUGGUUACAAAUAUGCUUCGGCUAAGAGCUAUUUGUCCAUUCUCCUGGACUGUGUUUCAAUUUCGACUCAUCAGUUGUGAACCACUCAUUAUUCAGAUGAAUAAGUGUAUAGAUGAGGAGCAAAUAUUUGAUUUUAUUGAAAGAAACAAAAUCAUACUUUCAGAAAAACAAGUGGGAUGUACAUUUAAUAUACUUUGGAAGCUUCAAAAGCAGAAGAUCAGUCUAUUAAAAAAUGUUGAGUAUGUCAGAGACCAUUCUCAAUUUCUUACUCUUCAUAAUUUAGCUACAAAUAAAUUCAAAUUAAUGAAUGGCAAUACCCUGGUGAAUGUGUUAUACAUCACACAACAGUUUGAUAUUAAACUGCUGUCAGAAUUUUCCUCUUGCUUAGCAGAUCAGCAUUUGUAUUUUAGUCCAUUAAUGGGAAAAAUAGCUGAUAUUGUCCAUAGGAACUUGGAAACCAUCCAGAACUUAAGUUCCUUGUCUGUCUUGAUGGUCAACAUAUCUUCUUUAAUAUCACGACAUUUUCAAGAACAACUGGUGAACAAAACGGAACUUGUUUUUGACACCACAGAUUCUUCUGAGGUCAACGUUGCAAAAAGAAUGGUACAGUUUCUUCGAAACUUUAGAUAUCAUUAUCAACCACUAUUAGAA
rnacentral:lncRNA from 1 species